UACGGAGGGUGCUAGCGUUGUUCGGAAUUACUGGGCGUAAAGGGCGUGUAGGCGGCGCGGUAAGUCAGGCGUGAAAGCCCCGGGCUCAACCUGGGAAUUGCGCUUGUUACUGCCGUGCUCGAGUCCGGGAGAGGAUAGCGGAAUUCCCAGUGUAGAGGUGAAAUUCGUAGAUAUUGGGAAGAACACCAGUGGCGAAGGCGACUAUCUGGACCGGCACUGACGCUGAGGCGCGAAAGCGUGGGGAGCAAACAGG
rnacentral:rRNA from 1 species